rnacentral:misc_RNA from 1 species
AAGUCGUAACAAGGUUUCCGUAGGUGAACCUGCGGAAGGAUCAUUAACACGUGCAAACGUAUUAAUUUACCUUGACCAACACCCUGUGAAUUUAUACCUAUUCCUAACGUCGGUUCAUGUAAUGUAGUGGGACGUGAUCCUAGCGAUCAUGUUGUUACAUCGAACCUGGGGCUUCGAGCCCAACGUGCGUUAACGGGUAGGAUUUUCUCUUUACCCUACUACAUAAAACAAACCAACCUAUUUCACCAAUUAACAAAUGUGACUGAUGUACGUUGAUAGUACAGAAAUGUACUGGAUCAACACCAUUUAUCUAAACUAAGCACAACUCUUAGCAAUGGAUAUCUUGGUUCUC